rnacentral:lncRNA from 1 species
UUGGCUCCAGCCAGUAGAUAUUCGGAUCAUCUAUGGCUUCUUUCUGAAUACGCUCAUGAGACCAAGCUACAAACAAAGAUUUCUGAGUUUCAAGGACUAGUUUUGCAUUCUUGGCCUCACCUAUCUUUGAUAGAGCAUCCUUCACUACUUUCAAGGAUAAACGAAAUCCUUCUAUCACCUUGUUCAUGUCAGCUGUGUUUUUAUCCGAAGAGUUUUGGAAAUCAUUCAUGAAUGUUUGCACUUCUUCAUGUAGUUUUUCUACUUUUUUGGUCACUUCAACAAUCCUCUUUUUAGAAUCAUGGAUGGCCAUGGAGGAUUCUUCAAUGAGUUUCACAUUCGUAGAGGUAAGCAUCUCAACAGUGGCCUUAUGAGUGGUGAGCAGAUUCUCCCACUUUGUCAAAGAUAAUGCAUUUAA